CCUCAGCCUCCCAAAGUGCUGGGAUUACAGGCGUGAGCCACUGCGCCUGGCCAGUAGUUUAGUUCUAUACUUGAAUUGAUGGAUUGCAUUCUAUCUUGUAAAAUUUGAAUAAAAAGUAAAUACAGUGUUUACCAGUGAAGUUAUUUACUCAUUACAUAUUGAUAUAAUUGAUAAUCACUACAUAUUUUAUCAUAUUGAAUUCAAGACACUGUGAUAACAGAUUUUUUUGAAGCAAAAUCCUGUUUUAAGUCUUUGGAUAUAGUACUUUUGCUGACCACUCUUGCAUUUGUCUCUCCAACAUUAUUCCCCACCUCAUUCCCAUUAUGAAACAGUUCACUGUUUGGAGAGCUGGGCCCCACCUCCGGCUCCGAGAUCAAUCCUGAUUGGGUGAAACUAAUCUGAGUAACCCCUCCUUCACAGGGGUUUGUCAGAUAACCCAGGCUUGAGCCAAUCACCGUUCUCUGGGACACAGAUUGGACUGAGUUAUCUUGUAACUGUCAUACUCCAGAUUUAUGUGGGAGCAGGAACUCCUUUGGACCUUAAGGAGGAAGCACGUGGCUGCUUUUACCUGCUGGCAGUUAUCUUGUGUUCUUGAAGGAAGCAGGCCUGAGGAGGACUCCUCAUACAGAGAGAAACACCGAGAGAUUCACUGAAAAACUGACAUGGGAUCCUGAGGGGCCACUCUUGAAGACUUAUCUCUGCACCUUUCUGGGCACUGUGCAUACAGCAAUGAUCAGCAUGAUUCCAGUGCUCAGAGAGCUCCAAGGAUUAGUUGAGACCAGACAAGAAUAUCAAGGAGGCAUGCAGAAGUUACAAUGGGAAAUCAAAAAGAAGACAAAGGAGGGACACCUAAUUCAGAACGAUGGGUUUGUUGGAUAGGAGAGAAAAGGAGACGAAUGGGCAGUCUCUACUGCUGUCUCAAGAGGAUGCUUUGAACUGUUGAUUGGGUAAUGUUUUAACAUAAACGGAACUCUCCACUCCACCGAAAAAGAAAGAAGAGGAAGAAACAGAUUUAUCUGAACAGACUGAGAAGAAAAUUGGAGGUGAAAAGUUGAGUGACUGGGGAGGAUUAAGAGAGGCCCAUCGAGUUGUUUGUUUGCGGAGAUGAGUUAGCAGUAGUAUAAACUUUAAGAAAGAAGAGAUCUGGCCGGGCGCAGUGGCUCAUGCCUGUAAUCCCAGCACUUUGGGAGGCUGAGGCUGGCGGA
rnacentral:lncRNA from 1 species